GUAAAAUCAGAUCUACGGGAGAGGGAGAGGGAACAGGGAAGGAUACGUGCAUCGUUAAAAACUUAAAAUAUUUAUGGUGAGAUUUUCGAAAUAAAAAAAUAUUAAUAACAAUACGUAAAUUUAAACUAUUUUAUGUUUAAAAAAGAUAGCUCUGUGAAUUUUGAAAUACUUCAACGUUCGUGAUUUUUUAAAAAAAUAAAAAUCAAAAUAAAAAAAAGUUUUUUUGGAUAAUAAUAGCCAGAGGGAGAGAGAGCGCGAGCGAGCUUCUCGAGCUUUACUUCAAAUUUCUCGGAGGUUUUUUGUUUUCCUCUUUUUUGGGCUGCAAGGCGUUGUUGGUUUCUGGAUUUUGGUUUCCGGUUAUUGUCAGAAAUGUGUGGGUUUCAAGCAUAGCUACACCACUUUCAGGUGGGUUCUCGGCCGUGAAAGAUGGUUAGCAUGCUUGUUGAAGGUGGUUUUCUUGCUGUCUGCCGUUCUGAUGGGAACGUUCUCCAGAUGGGAAGAUUGUAACUAGGGAUUUACCAAUUCCUGGUUUCACCUUUUAAAGAAACAUGAAAUUGGGAUCAAAGAAGGGCUGUAACUCCAACAUGCCUUGUCACAAACGAGGCAAAUCAGCCUGUUUCAGCUUGUUCCCAAAAGUGAAGUCAGCAAGCUAUAAUACAGGCGGCACCCCUGUCUAUCUUAAUGUUUAUGACUUGACACCCAUGAAUGGCUAUGUCUACUGGGCAGGCCUUGGUGUCUUUCAUUCUGGUGUGGAAGUUCAUGGUGUAGAAUAUGCCUUUGGAGCCCACGACUACCCAAGUAGUGGUGUCUUUGAAGUUGAGCCACGACAAUGCCCGGGAUUCAAAUUUAGGAAGUCAAUAUUCAUGGGAACAACGUGUUUGGACCCAACUCAGGUCAGGGAGUUCAUGGAGCACCACUCUACAAACUACAAUGGUGAUACAUAUCAUUUGAUUGUUAAAAAUUGCAACCAUUUCUGCAAGGAUAUCUGUUACAAGCUGACUGGGAACCCAAUCCCCAAAUGGGUGAAUCGACUUGCAAGAAUAGGUUCUCUUUGCAACUGCAUACUCCCCGAGGCCCUUAAGGUAUCUGCCGUGCGACCUGACCCCAAUUACGAUGAAUAUGAUGACAAUGAAAAGAGGCAGCUGAGAAGUGCCUUCAAUUGCUGGUCUUCAAUUUCAAUGCGGCAGUCCUCAUUUUCAAUGCGGCAGAAGCAGUUGUCAUCUUCGUCAAUGUUUCUACCACCAUUAGAAUUGAAAAGAUCCAAUGAUGGUUCUUUGAAGGAAAGGUAAUAAGGUGGCUUUUUUGAUUCCUCAUUUGGAACAACAGAGUGGUUUCGUCAAUCUUUCUAUAAGCCGACAGCUGUCGAAGGUUUACCAUGGCUUCUGGUUGUUAGUUUGGUGUCCCAGCUCCACAAACUCUAGGAUGGGAAAACAUACUGAGAAGAAACCAGAUGGAUCACAGCUUUGCUCUGAAGCCAUUUUCUUAGCAUUAAGUUCCGAGAUGGAUGGCAGCUCUUUUUGCCGAGUCCCUACCCAAUUGCCAGCAUGUUUGUUCUUGUGGAAAAUUGAUCUUUCAAUGUGUUGUAUUGGGGGAACCUUCUCAGCUUCUCUAUUAUUAAUCCAGUAUGAUAUGUGGCUUAUUCAUGGACCAGCAAUCUGUUCAUCCAGUGGGCAGUUUCUUUCCGAGUCCAAUCUAAAAUCAAGCCAAAGGUUAAAACUUACAGUUUAGCUUAUGGAAAUCUCCGGAUGAUAACCACAUUUUGGGUUGAAGCUCUUUCUAGGAAGUGUAUGAUAGCUAGUCUAUACUGGAUACAAGAGGCGAUAGCAAUCUUCUAACUGGAUUUCCUUUCAACCUUUGUUACCAUGUAAUGAAACGUUGUAGUUACGCUGAAUGCAGGACUAGUAGUUGCAUUCUUGGAUUGAUUUCA